AAAAGUCGUGAGUUUAGCUUCAGAAAUAGCGACUGUCCGUCCCGACUCUAAACUUUCCUGUUCGUGGAAUAAGCCCCUUAUCCGGGGUUAACCCUCCCGGUCUGCCGAGCCCCCCUGUCCCGUCCCGUCCCCUUCUCUAUCGCCUCUACACCUUUCCCCACCUGCAGUUUAAGUCGUAAACGCCGCCACGUGUUUUACGGCAGAAACAUCUCCUGCGCUUGGAAGGGAACUUUGUUCCCGAGUUUCCCCGAUCCCAAAUUUGUCUUAAAGGCGCUGAAAGUAACCGGCGGGCGAGUGGGUGGAGGCGUGGAGUCGCCGAGCUCCAGCUGAAUACAAAGCGAGACAAGACAAGAAGAACAAGUGCAAAAAUAAUCCACAAGAGAAAAAAAAAAUUCUUACCAGACAUUAUAAGAUUAUUUUUUUGUUCUUAACUACAGGAUAGAUGCUUAUUCGGCCCCAAGAUCUUAGUCUUCAGAUUUGUUCACAAGAGUGGAAUAUUUUUAAAAUUAAGCCAAUUUCUCCCCUGCUGUGCCGAACAUUGGAUUAGUCACAAACAAAAUUAUUGCACUAUAGCUUAGAAUAUAACUUAGAGUUUUGGAGCACACUUGUCGACCUUUUUAAAACCCCUACAAUCCAAUGAUUUGACAACGAAUGAUUGCGCGAUACUUUCAAUUUGAAUAUUCAAAGCCUAGACAAAAAGACUGCUCUCUUGCUAAAACACUGUGCAUUUCCAUGUACUAAAGCCUUCAAUGGAAUAAAAUACAAUGUAAAAGUGUGGAACUUUCAGCAGAA